CCUUACGGCCAUACCAGCCUGGGUACGCCUGAUCUCGUCUGAUCUUGAAAGUUAAGCAGGGUCGGGCCUGGUUAGUACUUGGAUGGGAGACCGCCUGGGAAUACCAGGUGCUGUAAGCA
rnacentral:rRNA from 1 species